GUGCUCGCUUCGGCCGCACAUAUACUUAAAUUGGAAUGAUACAGAGAAGAUUAGCAUGGCCCCUGCGCAAGGAUGACACGCAAAUUGGUGAAGUGUUCCAUAUUUAA
rnacentral:snRNA from 1 species